UGCUACAUUCAGAGACUACCUGUGAGAUCCUUCGUCCUACCUGGUUAUAAUUUUCUAAGUAGGUAUGUACCUAAUAACUUUAUUAUUAUUAUUAUGGCAAGUUUGUUUUUUACGUACAAUUGCAGUUUACAUUAGGUUGAUGGCUAUUGUUAUUUUCUGUAAAGCAGUUGAUAUUUAUGUUUGAAUAUGGAUUUUAUUUUAAAAAAAUAAAUAAUGUACAUUUUACCUGCUAGAAGUCGAUAACAAAGUGACUAAAGUUAUUUUGAAACUACAUAUUACCUAUUUACAAAUUCAUUCACAUUUACUUAAAACUCUCUUAUUAAAUUUACUUAAAAAGUUCAAAAGGGAAAAACAAGGUUGUUUCGGGAAUUCUAUUAUUUCCAUUUUAAUCGUAUUUAAUUGGAAAUUCCCAGCUAUUAUAUUUGUGUCCUUGGAAAUUGAUCAAUUUGAAUGCUAUGUCGUGUUUAGUUUAAAACGCAUAUUAUGACUAACGAGGGUUUUUCAAAAGAUUAAUCUGGUCAUUCAUCUACAGUUUGAUGUCUUAAUUGUGGAAAAUUUUAAAAAAGCAGUGGAAGAUAUUCUAUUGGGGAAAUGCGAGGCGAUACAAUAGUUAUUAGAUAUUCUUACUUUUAUUACUAAAAGUUUCGUUUAUAUUUUUAAGUUAUUUUCUUUCUUGUUUGUUAUGAAUUUAAGAUAUUUAUAAAUGAUAGGUUUUGUUUAUUACAAAUUAUUACGAACCAGAAGUAUAUUUGUAACAUUUCAUUAUUAUAGGGGAAGAAAGUUUUGGAUUUAAAAUAUAAUAUAAUUUAGCAUUUGAGAUGUUGUAAAAUAAAAAUGUACAUAUUUCUUAAACUCAAAAAAAAAUAAUAUAAAUGAAUGAAAAUAUUAUAUGUACAUCUGGCUUACACAAUUAAUUGUUAAGACUUAAUAUUUUGAAUAUAAUAUUUUUACAUAACAUUUUAACAAAAUAUAUUUAACAUAAAUUAACAAUUUUACGCAAAAAUAUUUUAUGUGCAAGUUCCCUAUUAUUUCCCUUAUUUUAAAAAUAUACACGCCACCAUUGAACUACACGCGUCUCUCAUCUCAGACCCCUCGAGGGUCUAUCAUUUCUAAGCGAUACCCUGACAAUCCUAUUGAAAUCCGAUUAUAAUGUAUUUAUUAUUAAAGGAUAACGUAAGCAUCAUUACGGCUGUUUGCCAUUUUUCGAGUGACACACGUGCAGGGUUAACCCGACAUCUUAAAAAAGUAUCUCAUUGAGAAACUGAUGUAUAAUACAAUUUCAUAUUCAGGAGCUAUGAGCUUAAGCCCAGAUGUACCUCAGGUACGGCUCUUGAAUAUUCAAGUCUAUAUUCACGGAUCCUGGCCGGAUAGCCCUAGUAGCUAAGGCCAUUCAAAUGAAGAGAAGAAGAAGAA
rnacentral:lncRNA from 1 species